GAUGAACGCUGGCGGCGUGCCUAAUACAUGCAAGUCGAGCGAACAGACGAGGAGCUUGCUCCUCUGACGUUAGCGGCGGACGGGUGAGUAACACGUGGAUAACCUACCUAUAAGACUGGGAUAACUUCGGGAAACCGGAGCUAAUACCGGAUAAUAUAUUGAACCGCAUGGUUCAAUAGUGAAAGACGGUUUUGCUGUCACUUAUAGAUGGAUCCGCGCCGCAUUAGCUAGUUGGUAAGGUAACGGCUUACCAAGGCAACGAUGCGUAGCCGAACUGAGAGGGUGAUCGGCCACACUGGAACUGAGCCACGGUCCAGACUCCUACGGGAGGCAGCAGUAGGGAAUCUUCCGCAGUGGGCGAAAGCUUGACGGAGCAACGCCGCGUGAGUGAUGAAGGUCUUCGGAUCGUAAAACUCUGUUAUUAGGGAAGAACAAAUGUGUAAGUAACUAUGCACGUCUUGACGGUACCUAAUCAGAAAGCAACGGCUAACUACGUG
rnacentral:rRNA from 1 species